AACGGCGCCAUUUUAAGAACAACAACUCAUUCUACAGCGUACGGAAGUGCAACUACGUCACAACUCAGAGGCUGAUCUGGCGCCCUAUUGGACAUAAAGUAGACUAUUUGAUGGGAAUUAGAAGCCGGGUGCGUCACUUACCUGAGGAUGAGAUGGCACCAAGAUGCAAAGCUGAGGAUUUAAGAGUGAAAACUCCUGGUUUCUCAUGCUGCAGCUGAGCUCACUUUAUGUAAUUGGGGAAUUUAUAUGGAGGCCAAUAGUGGGCAUCCUUUCCAGCCAUCCACAUAGUGCUUACCACUUCCACCUCUCCCUGUCCCAAGAAAUCCACGACAUAGGAAAAGGGUGAGGUCCAACAUAGUACAACUGAAAAACUGAAUCACUGGCCCAGGAAGUUUUCAAAAGGAAAUGCAGACACAUGAUCUAAUGGACCAAACCUUCUCCAGAUGACACAGACAGUGAACAUUGUACAACAUCUCCUCAACCCCAUACAAGGUCCUGAACUGUUCAAGGAAGUACCAAAUCAGAUUAUCUGUAUAAUUGCAGUAAUGGGCACACAGGGUAGGAGAAAGCAUCAAAUAGAUGCUGAUAGACAGUGUAAGGAAGUUAACAUAAAGUGGAGUUGGGAGGACUCCUUUCAGUACCACUGGACCAGUGUACAGAAGAAAUCGCCUAAACUUGGUAGCUUUCCAGGGGUAUAAUUCUGAGACAGAUCUCGGCCUUCGUGCUGAGGUAAGUACUGUGACAUCCCUAAACGUUUUUCUAAGAUGGAACUGAUCUUAAGGGAGCCCAGUCUGUAUUUGUAUGAUCCAAAAUGUGAACAGCUACCUUGUAACACCAAGGCAAACAACAUGCAUAUAGUCUAGCGCAAAUUGUGUGACCACAAAUGGAUCCCUUUCAAAAGGGAAUUUACCCAAAAUUGGUCAAGGUUGCUUUAGAGAACUUUUGAACAAUGGCAGUCCAUCUGUGUUCACCUCCAAUGUGACUGUAUCAGUUUGUGACAGCAGUCCCCCUUUGUUUUGGAGCAAAUGUUCCAGUAUGCCAAAAUGGACAUACUCCCCACCAUCAAUUGCUUUGAC